UGGGGAAUAUUGGACAAUGGGCGAAAGCCUGAUCCAGCCAUGCCGCGUGUGUGAAGAAGGUCUUCGGAUUGUAAAGCACUUUAAGUUGGGAGGAAUGGCAGUAAGCGAAUACCUUGCUGUUUUGACGUUACCGACAGAAUAAGCACCGGCUAACUCUGUGCCAGCAGCCGCGGUAAUACAGAGGGUGCAAGCGUUAAUCGGAAUUACUGGGCGUAAAGCGCGCGUAGGUGGUUCGUUAAGUUGAAUGUGAAAGCCCCGGGCUCAACCUGGGAACUGCAUCCAAAACUGGCGGGCUAGAGUAGGGCAGAGGGUGGUGGAAUUUCCUGUGUAGCGGUGAAAUGCGUAGAUAUAGGAAGGAACACCAGUGGCGAAGGCGACCACCUGGGCUCAUACUGACACUGAGGUGCGAAAGCGUGGGGAGCAAACAGG
rnacentral:rRNA from 1 species